AAAUGCAGCAAUGCAAGUUAGCUAAUUAUUGAACAGUCAGCCACCAUGCAGUUCUUGAUCUUCGUUCUUGCCUUGGUUGCAGUUUUAUUCUCCUCAGCAAUUGCGCAAACGCCGUGCGGAGGACUGUUUGCAUGCAUGGAUGGCUGCGCGCUUAUCGGAAGCAAUUCUUAUGGAGCGUGUCCCUUUGGAAAGGUUUGCUGUCCCUUGGGAUUAGGGAAGUAGGAGACAAUGGACCUUCAACCUUCAAUUAUUUAAAAGUCACACGAUGAUAAUACAAUCAAUGCAAAAUGACUGUUUGAACUCAACCGCAUAAAGAAUAAAAUGGAUUUUCCAAA